rnacentral:rRNA from 1 species
GAUGAACGCUGGCGGCGUGCUUAACACAUGCAAGUCGAACGGAAAGGCUCCUGCUUGCAGGGGUACUCGAGUGGCGAACGGGUGAGUAACACGUGGGUGAUCUGCCCUGCACUUCGGGAUAAGCCUGGGAAACUGGGUCUAAUACCGGAUAGGACCACAUUUUGGAUGGUGUGGUGGAAAGUUUUUCGGUGUGGGAUGAGCUCGCGGCCUAUCAGCUUGUUGGUGGGGUAAUGGCCUGCCAAGGCGUCGACGGGUAGCCGGCCUGAGAGGGUGUACGGCCACAUUGGGACUGAGAUACGGCCCAGACUCCUACGGGAGGCAGCAGUGGGGAAUAUUGCACAAUGGGCGCAAGCCUGAUGCAGCGACGCCGCGUGGGGGAUGACGGCCUUCGGGUUGUAAACUCCUUUCGCUAGGGACGAAGCGCAAGUGACGGUACCUGGAGAAGAAGCACCGGCUAACUACGUG